rnacentral:sRNA from 1 species
UUUUUGGGUUUUAAACAUCACAUAUACUUGACUGAUGUACUCGAAUUCAGGGGCUCCCGAUGCAACAGAAAACUUUCAAAAUUUUGCACUCCACCAGGCAAUACACUCGAUCUCCAGGUCUUCUGUAGAGUAACAGUUUUGAAUUUUUACUCUAUCUCCACGUUGUUCCUUUGUUCUUGAGAACCACAAACACAACUAAGACAAAUCAAAAAUAACAAGAAAAGAAAAAAUUAUUUACAGAGAUAGUCAUGGGACUUCCUCCCAAGUGAGCUUGUUUAAAGUCAUU